GGCGGUGUCGGUGCGGUCGCGCUGGCCGGCCACGACCUGGCCGGGCACCCGUACGGUCGGGUCGUUGCCGCC
rnacentral:tRNA from 1 species